AGAGUUUGAUCCUGGCUCAGGACGAACGCCGGCGGCGUGCCUAAUACAUGCAAGUCGAACGCUGAAGGAGGAGCUUGUUCUUCUGGAUGAGUUGCGAACGGGUGAGUAACGCGUAGGUCACCUGCCUGGCUCCGGGGGAUAACUGUUGGAAACGAUAGCUAAUCCCGCAUAACAUUGACUAUUGCGUGAUAGUCAAUUGAAAGGUGCAAAUGCACCACUACCAUAUGGACCUGCGUUGUAUUAUCUAGUUGGUGGGGUAACGGCUCACCAAGGCGACGAUACAUAGCCGACCUGAGAGGGUGAUCGGCCACACUGGGACUGAGACACGGCCCACACUCCUACGGGAGGCAGCAGUAGGGAAUCUUCGGCAAUGGACGGAAGUCUGACCGAGCAACGCCGCGUGAGUGAAGAAGGUUUUCGGAUCGUAAAGCUCUGUUGUAAGAGAAGAACGAGUGUGAGAGUGGAAAGUUCACACUGUGACGGUAUCUUACCACAAAGGGACCGCUAACUACGUGCCAGCAACCGCGGUAAUACGUACGUCCCGAGCGUUGUCCGGAUUUAUUGUUCGUAAAGCGAGCGCAAGCGGUUAGAUAAGUCUGAAGUUAAAGGCUGUGGCUUAACCAUAACUCGCUUUGGAAACUGUAUAACUUGACUGCAGAAGGGGAGAGUGGAAGUCCAUGUGUAGCGAUGAAAUGCGUAGAUAUAUGGAGGAACACCGGUGGCGACAGCAGCUCUCUGGCUUGUAACUGACGCUCACGCUCGAAAGCAUGGCGAGCAAACACGAGUAGAUACCCUGGUAGUCUACGUCGUAGACAAUGAGUGCUAUGUGUAGACCAUUUCAGAGAUUAGUGACGCAGCUACGCAGUACGCACUCUGCUGGAGAGUAGACAGCUAGGUGAACUCAAAUGAACUGACGGGGGGCCGCACAAUGGUGGAGCAUGUGGUGUACAUUACGCAGCGGCGCGCGUGAU
rnacentral:rRNA from 1 species